UACGAGGGGGGCGAGCGUUGUUCGGAAUUACUGGGCGUAAAGCGCACGUAGGCGGAUAUUUAAGUCAGGGGUGAAAUCCCAAGGCUCAACCUUGGAACUGCCUUUGAUACUGGGGAUCUUGAGUCCGGGAGAGGUGAGUGGAACUGCGAGUGUAGAGGUGAAAUUCGUAGAUAUUCGCAAGAACACCAGUGGCGAAGGCGGCUCACUGGCCCGGUACUGACGCUGAGGUGCGAAAGCGUGGGGAGCAAACAGG
rnacentral:rRNA from 1 species